rnacentral:rRNA from 1 species
GGCUCUUUGUAUGAAAAAAAUGAGGAGUCGGGCCUGCCCGGUGAUUAAUUUAACGGCUGCAACGAGAGUUGUACUAAGGUAGCGCGAUAGCUUGUCCCUUAAUUAGGGAAUGGUAUGAAUGGUCUGACGUGGAAAAACUGUCUUUUAAAAGUUUAAUGAAGUUUCCUUUUAAGUGAAAAGGCUUAAAUUUUUGUAAAAGACGAGAAGACCCUGUUGAGUUGAAUUAGGGCUUAUUAAUAAUUUAUAGUUUGAAUUUUUGUUGGGGCAACACGAUUUAUGUCAUGUAGCGGGUUGUACAAAGAAUUGAGAUCCUUUUGGAAAGAAAUAAGCAACAGCUACCACAGGGAUAACAGCGUUAUCCUUUCUAAGAGAUCGUAUUGAGGAAGGGGUUUGCGACCUCGAUGUUGGAUUAGAAAAACUUUAUGGUGCAGGGGCUAUAAAAUGUAAUUUUUGUUCGUCUUUUAAAUUUCUACA